rnacentral:rRNA from 1 species
UACGUAGGGUGCAAGCGUUAAUCGGAAUUACUGGGCGUAAAGCGUGCGCAGGCGGUUGUGCAAGACAGAUGUGAAAUCCCCGGGCUUAACCUGGGAAUUGCAUUUGUGACUGCACGGCUAGAGUGUGUCAGAGGGGGGUAGAAUUCCACGUGUAGCAGUGAAAUGCGUAGAUAUGUGGAGGAAUAUCGAUGGCGAAGGCAGCCCCCUGGGAUAACACUGACGCUCAUGCACGAAAGCGUGGGGAGCAAACAGG